rnacentral:rRNA from 1 species
UACGAAGGGUGCAAACGUUGCUCGGAAUCAUUGGGCGUAAAGCGCACGUAGGCGGCUUUGCAAGUCGGAUGUGAAAUCCCUCGGCUCAACCAAGGAAGUGCAUCCGAAACUGCAGAGCUUGAGUACUUAAGAGGAUCGCGGAAUUCCCGGUGUAGAGGUGAAAUUCGUAGAUAUCGGGAGGAACACCAGUGGCGAAGGCGGCGAUCUGGGUAGAUACUGACGCUGAGGUGCGAAAGCGUGGGGAGCAAACAGG